AAAUGGAUUACUCCACCUGGCCAGGGAGGGUUCUGCCAAACUAUCCUUCAGAUCCCUGGACAGUCUCAGAAUGCAGGUUCCUUAAACUGUUCAUCACCCAGCUGAAUGCAGUUUAAAUAUGCUGAUCCCUCCCACAUAAACUUUCUGUGUAGCUAUUAAACGCUUAUCUAUUGAGUAACAAGUUUAUGGUUUUUUUUUUUUUUGGGGGGGGGACAAGGUCUCACUUUGUCACCCAGGCUGGAGUGCAGUGGCAUAAUCAUGGCUCACUGCAGCCUCUGCCGCCUGAUUAUCUUUUUUUAUUUAAUUUUUUUUUAUUUUUAUUUUGCUUUGAGGUAGAGUUUCUUUCUUGUUGCUCAGGUUGGAGUGCAAUGGCUCAACCUUGGCUCACUGCAACCUCCGCCUCCCGGGUUCAAGCUAUUCUCCCACCUCAGCCUCCCGAGUAGCUGGGAUUACAGGCAUGGGCUACGAUUCCCAGCUAAUUUUGUAUUUUUAGUAGAGACAGGGUUUCUCCAUGUUGGUCAGGCUGGUUUUGAACUCCCGAUCACAGGUGAUCUGCCCACCUCGGCCUCCCAAAGCGCUGGGAUUACAGGCGUGAGCCACCGUGCCUGGCCUUUUCUUUUUUAAAUAAUCCCAAAUGAAGUUUGGGAGGCAUGCUCAGUAUUGUGCCCUGAACCUUUGUUUUUUAUUUGGUAGUGUAUUUUGUACCUCCCUAUCUUACUCAGUUUUUAAUCACACUCUAUAAUUAAUGUUUAUAUGGGUGUUACCUUGUUUUCUAGCUCCCUAAGUCAGAAAUAAACAUCAUGAAGACAGGAACCUCAUCUUUUUUUGCUCAUUGCUCUUUUCUCAGCAUCUUUUGCAAUGCCUGCACCUCAAUAAAUGUCUGACUGACACCAUGUGCCUUGCUCUUGAGUUCUCUGUUUCGUGACAAAGACACAAAUACAUAUUCAUCAUAUGACGUAAAUAGCAAGAGAGGAAAUAAAGUAUUAAAACAGCUCUAAGAUGGAGGCACAAGCUGUAUUGGGUGAGUGGGAGGGGCUUCACAGAGAAGGGAUUUGUGAUUUCGGUUUUAGAUAAAGGAAGAAAGAGGCGGGGCGCGGUAGCUCAUGACUUGUAAUCCCAGCACUUUGGAAGGCUGAGGUGGGGGGAUCGCUUGAGCCCAGGAAGUUUGAGAGCAGCCUGGCAACAUAGUGAGACCCUGUCACUACAAAAAAUUCAAAAAAUUAGCCAGGUGUGAUGAUCCACACCUGUGGUCCCAACUACUCAGGAGUCUGAGGUGGGAGAAUCACUUGAGCCCAGGAGAUUGAGGCUGUAGUGAACCGUGUAUUUGCGCCACUGCACUCUGCACUCCAGCCUGGAUAACAGCAAGACCCUGUCUCAAAAAAAAAAAGGAAUGGCUAGGUGCGAUGGCUCACUCCUGUAAUCCCAGCACUUUGGGAGGCUGAGGUGGGCAGAUCACAAGGUCAGGAGAUCUGAGACCAUCCUGGCUAACAUGGUGAAACCCCGUCUCUACUAAAAAUACAAAAAAUUAGCCG
rnacentral:lncRNA from 1 species